UCCUGUGAGUUGCUGAGAGGCAGCAAACAGGAGGAAGUGAGACUUGAGCACUCACCUGGAUUCUGGUCCUUGCUCAUCCCUGUACAGUGUUUACCUUGGCUUUGAGUAUUGGGUAUCCUUUCUUAAACAAUGUAAAGCUAGAAGACCAAUCUCAAACAGUGUUCAGCUGAUCUAAAUCAGACUGGGCUCUUUGUGUACCACUUAAAUACAAAAGCUUUUGGGAUGGAAGCUGUUCAACAGCAUAGCAGACUAAACUGCUCUUGUGUGAUGGAGCAGCAUAGGUUGCCCAGAUGAAACAAGAACAACCUCAAGUGGAGAUAUAGCCACUGAUUGGGAUUUUAUUGUACUAAUGCUCACCUCUUCCUCCUUUUUGUGAUGAGAGAAACAGUAAAACAGAAGGAGGGGGAGGGAACAUAGUAAAUUAAGACGCUCUCAGCUGCUAUCCCAACGCUAGGUUGGAAACUUGUUUCAACUGUAAUCUAGUCAUCAGUACCACUGCCUGCAGCAUCUCUAUUUUUUCCAAAGGUGUUCACUUCCAAACAGCGCACAGUGGACAUCAGUGUGUGUCUGUGACUGGGGACAAACUAAUGUGAGUGUGUGUUACCUUUCUGGGAAGGUUCUACCAGAGCCUAAAGGACAAUGAUGUUGAGUUCACACCUGCCAGUGUUGAAAAGGAGCUCUUGAAGUCCUGCAAAGAGGCAAAAGGCAAAGAGAACCGGCUGUGCUAUUAUAUUGGGGCCACAAGUGAUGCAGCUACCAAAAUAAUUAAUGAGGUCUCAAAACCCAUGAGUCAUCACAUCCCUGUGGAAAAGAUCUGCGAGAAACUUAAGAAGAAAGACAGUCAGAUCUGUGAACUAAAAUAUG